CGCCUUGCCAGCCCGCUCAGAACUUAAGGAAUUGACGGGGCCGCACAAGCGGAGGAGCAUGUGGUUUAAUUCGAUGAUACGCGAGGAACCUUACCUGGGCUCGAACGUAAGAUGACUGUAGGUGAAAGCUUACAUCUCUUCGGAGCAUUUUACGAGGUGCUGCAUGGUUGUCGUCAGCUCGUGCCGUGAGGUGUCGGGUUAAGUCCCAUAACGAGCGCAACCCCUACCUUUAGUUGCCAUCAGGUUAAGCUGGGGACUCUAAAGGAACUGCCUACGCAAGUAGUGAGGAAGGCGGGGAUGACGUCAAAUCAGCACGGCCCUUACGUCCAGGGCUACACACGUGCUACAAUGGCCGAUACAGAGGGCAGCUACCUGGUGACAGGAUGCAAAUCUCCAAAGUCGGUCUCAGUUCGGAUCGGAGUCUGCAACCCGACUCCGUGAAGUUGGAAUCGCUAGUAAUCGCGCAUCAGCCAUGGCGCGGUGAAUACGUUCCCGGGCCUU
rnacentral:rRNA from 1 species